rnacentral:antisense_RNA from 1 species
CUCAAUGGUAGCUGUGCGCAGGGCGCCUUCGGGUGCGCCGGUUUUGGUGGGUUUACCGGUCGACUAACCUGCGUACAGCUGCCACCUUU